AUAGUGGAGCUCUGUGGGUUCAGGUUGAGCAGGACUAUGAUGGAGCUCUGUGGGUUCAGGUUGAGCAGGGCUAUGAUGGAGCUCUGUGGGUUCAGGUUGAGCAGGGCUAUGAUGGAGCUCUGUGGGUUCAGGUUGAGCAGGACUAUGAUGGAGCUCUGUGGGUUCAGGUUGACCAGGAUAUGAUGGAGCUCUGUGGGUUCAGGUUGAGCAG